GAUGAAGAACGUAGCGAUAUGCGAUACUUGGUGUGAAUUGCAGAAUCCCGUGAACCAUCGAGUCUUUGAACGCAAGUUGCGCCCGAAGCCACUAGGCCGAGGGCACGCCUGCCUGGGCGUCACACGCCGUUGCCCCCCCAUCUACUCCUUCGGGAUUGCGGGGGGGCGGAUGAUGGCCUCCCGUGCGCCUAGCCGCGCGGUUGGCAUAAAUACCAAGUCCUCGGCGACGCACGCCACGACAAUCGGUGGUUGCGAAACCUCGGUUGCCCGUCGUGUGCGUUCGUCGCGCAUCGAGGGCUCGAAAAAAUGCUCGGCUCCGGCUGGGCUUUCAACGCGACCCCAGGUCAGGCGGGGUUACCCGCUGAAUUUAAGCAUAUCAAUAAGCGGAGGA
rnacentral:misc_RNA from 1 species